UCACCUCCACAGGCUGCCUGGUGCCCGGGCUGGGCGGGGCGAGUAUCUCUUGGAAAGGCUCACCCUCAAGCAUGACUAGGAGC
rnacentral:pre_miRNA from 1 species